GGAAAAGAAACCAACCGGGAUUACCAUAGUAACGGCGAGUGAAGUGGUAAAAGCUCAAAUUUGAAAUUAGAUAAUUUUAUUAUCUAAGUUGUAAUUUGGAAAAUAUUUAUAGAGUGAAAUUAAAUAAUUUUAUAUUCCUUGGAAAAGGAUGCCAUAGAGGGUGAGAGCCCCGUAAAAAAUAUUUAAUUUUACAAUAAGUUAUAAAUAUUUGAAGAGUCGAGUUGUUUGGGAAUGCAGCUCUAAGUGGGUGGUAAACUCCAUCUAAAGCUAAAUAUUGGCGAGAGACCGAUAGCGAACAAGUACAGUGAUGGAAAGAUGAAAAGAACUUUGAAAAGAGAGUGAAAAAGUACGUGAAAUUGUUGAAAGGGAAGGGCAUGUGAUGAGAGAUAGUGAAAUAAUAGUAAGCAUUAUUUAAAUUUCUUGUAAAUUUAAAUUUUGAAUGCUAAUCACUGUGCCAGAAAGAAUUUUUAAGGAUUGAAAAAAAUUUAUUAAAGUGACUUUUUUAUUUAAUUAAAGAAGUGUUAUAGAAUAAAUUAAUAAAUCCAUUAAAGAUUGAGGAAAGCGAUUAAGAAAUUAAUCAAGGAUUCUGGCGUAAUGAUUACAUGCCGCCCGUCUUGA
rnacentral:rRNA from 1 species